rnacentral:rRNA from 1 species
UACGUAGGGUGCAAGCGUUUGUCCGGAUUUAUUGGGCGUAAAAGAGCUCGUAGGCGGCUUGUCGCGUCGUCCGUGAAAACCUGGCAGCUCAACUGCAGGCUUGCGGUCGAUACGGGCAGGCUAGAGUUCGGUAGGGGAGACUGGAAUUCCUGGUGUAGCGGUGAAAUGCGCAGAUAUCAGGAGGAACACCUAUGGCGAAGGCAGCUCGCUGGGACGUUACUGACGCUGAGACGCGAAAGCGUGGGGGAGCAAACAGG